rnacentral:sRNA from 1 species
UCAGGAAUCAGUACUUCAUUUGAUUUUUAAACUGCCAUCAAGGCUAAGACAAAGCCCUUAUAAGAUAAAGGCCAAACUCCUCAGGAUAGAUACAGGGCUCUUCCAAAUCAGAUCCCAUCCUGACCUUCCAGCUUCGUCUUCCAUUGCUUCUACUGCAUCUCACCCUCCCCAAACCAGAUCUGCUUGCCAGGUGCCAGACAUACUGAAGACAGGACAUGACUUCAGGCCUUGCAAUUGCCAGUGCCCUAAUAGAUAUUUCACAACAGAAAGCUUCAGAUAGUAAAGAUAAGAGUUCUGGAGUCCGGAAUCGAAAACACCUUUCAACACGUCAAGGAACUUGUGUCUGAGAAAUGGAAACCGCUCCUGUAUAUUCUGUACUGUUUUACUUCGGGCUUCUGUUAAAGCUGUUCUAUGGCCUCGGAUUUCAUGGAGGCAGAUCUCUGUAUCAUCCAGAGCCUGCGUACAGUUUCCUUCCAAAUGGACAACGACCCAGGUGGCCAAAGAAUGUUCAUGAGUUUUAUAAAAGU